rnacentral:rRNA from 1 species
AACGAACGCUGGCGGCAUGCCUAACACAUGCAAGUCGAACGAGACCUUCGGGUCUAUUGGCGCACGGGUUCGUAACGCGUGGGAACCUGCCCUUAGGUUCGGAAUAACUCCCCGAAUGGGGUGCUAAUACCGGAUAAUGUCUUCGGCCCAAACAUUUAUUGACCUUGGAUGGUCCCGAGUUGGAUUAGAUAGUUGGUAGGGUAAAAGGAUACCAAGGGGACCAUUCAUACCUUGGCUCAGAGAAUGAUUAGCCACACUUGGAGUGAGACGCGGCCCAGACUCCUACGGGAGGGAGGAGUGGGGGAUAGUGGACAGUGGGCGAAAGCCUGAACCAGCUAUGCCGCGUGAGUGAUGAAAGCCUUAGAGUUGUAAAGCUCAUUUACCCAGGAUGAUAAUGACAGUACCGGGAGAAUAAGCUCCGGCUAACUCCGUG